ACCCGGAUGGCGAAAUCGGUAGACGCGAGGGACUUAAAAUCCCUGGACCGCAAGGUCGUGUGGGUUCGAGUCCCACUCCGGGUA
rnacentral:tRNA from 1 species